rnacentral:rRNA from 1 species
CCUACGGGUGGCAGCAGUGAGGAAUAUUGGUCAUUGGGCUUACGCCUGAACCAGCCAAGUCGCGUGCGGGAAGACUGCCCUAUGGGUUGUAAACCUCUUUUGUCAGGGAGCAACGCCGGCUACGUGUAGCCGUCCUGAGAGUACCUUAUGAAUCAGCCUCGGCUAACUCCGUGCCAGCAGCCGCGGUAAUACGGGGGAUGCGAGCGUUAUCCGGAUUUAUUGGGUUUAAAGGGUGCGUAGGCGGUUUUUUAAGUUAGUGGUUAAACGUCGGGGCUUCACCUUGAUUUGCCAUUAAUACUGUAAGACUCGAGUGCAGAUGAGGUAGGCGGAAUAAGUGAAGUAGCGGUGAAAUGCUUAGAUAUAACUUAGAACUCCGAUAGCGAAGGCAGCUUACCAGACUGCGACUGACGCUGAAGCACGAGAGCGUGGGUAGCGAACAGGAUUAGAUACCCGAGUAGUC